ACAUACUGAAGGAUCAAAAUACUGAAGAGACAUUCUCUGGGCCUCAAUGCCAUCGCCUUAAUUACAGACUCCCGGGACUUCGGAAUCUAAAUCUACACACAUGUUCUGGUUUGAUCGCUACAGUGUUAGUGCCGGGAGGCAGGUGCUGUUAUCAAUGUCCUUAUCUUCAUAUUUAAAUGAGUGCCUGAGAAUUUCCUUCCCAUCGGAGAUCCUGAGGUGGUGACUACAAGUUUUCCAUUUUCCAUCCAACAGCUGAUUGUCGUUUCUAUAGGGCUGGGGGUGGAACCCAGGGCCUUGUGUACUAGGCAAGAGUUCUGUUACUGAGCUACGGCCCCAGCCCCUAACAAACAGCUGACAGUUAUUUGCUUUUCUUUCUUUCUUCUGACGUGUUUUCUCUUUGAUGACAGAGCCCAAAUCACGCUAAGAUCUGACAUGUAAUAAACAUCCAGUAACUGUU
rnacentral:lncRNA from 1 species